rnacentral:rRNA from 1 species
CCUACGGGAGGCAGCAGUGAGGAAUAUUGGUCAAUGGGCGGAAGGCUGAACCAGCCAAGCCGCGUGCGGGACGAAGGUCCUACGCGUCGUAAACCUCUUUUGCACGGGGAUAACACCCUCCACGUGAGGAUGUCUGCAGGUACCGUGCGAAUAAGGGCCGGCUAAUUCCGUGCCAGCAGCCGCGGUAAUACGGAGGGCCCGAGCGUUCUCCGGAUUCAUUGGGGUUAAAGGGUGCGUAGGCGGGCUGUCAAGUCAGCUGUAAAAUCCCGGGGAUAAACCGCGCCGCGCAGUUGAAACUGGACGAAUUGAGUUCACAAGAGGAAGGCGGAAUUCGUGGUGUAGCGGUGAAAUGCACAGAUA